ensembl:lncRNA
AUGGUCCUCCUCCAGAGUCACGGCUGCCCUACCAGCUCGCCUCCGCUCCAGAAACACGUUCUAGUAAGAAAACACAGCGGUAGUUGGUUAACGCAUGUGAAAGUAACAGCUGUAUUUUGCCCUUUAAGUCAACCAUGUAAUAAAUACAAACUUACGAGGAAUCCUUGUUGGUCGAUUCCUCGUCGUCCUCCAGUGUCUCAGCUCCUCCAGCAGCUCUCCUCAGACAGAGUCCUGGUCUGGAACAAACAGCAGAAGUCUUGCUUCAACAUGUGGCAGGCCCUCCACCAGCUCCUCCACCAGCCCAGGGCCUUCAGCACGGCUCCUCCAUCAGCUCCUUCAGCCAUGGAUUCCUGGUCUGGUUUCAAACACAGUUGUUCUCAGCAGUAAAUCACCUGGGGACGCAACACACCCCACUUCCUGCAUCUGAGGUUCACUUGUAAAAUGGAAGACAAAUUUAAAACACUUAAAUUAGACAACGUCUGCAGAUUGUCGCGUUCAGCAAUUCAUCCACUACGGUCGUAGCAGCACUAGUAACAUUAAUGGCUAAUAUGACUCUUGCAUAACCCCCGUAUGAAUUAACUCACAGCUUGGCACAGAUUUAAAGUCAUAAGAUGAUCAAAACCAGACCUAAACUACCGUGGAUUUUAGUGUUUCAGAUGAGCUUGGUGAUGGUUACCCUCUGGUCCGGUGCUGCAGGCCCCUGGUCUCCAGCCUCAGUCUCCGGUCCACCCUGGCACCACAAGCCUCCGGUCCCCAGCCUCUCAGCCUCGCCUUUCAGCUACAGCAGCAGGUUUAUAUCAGCAUUUGCCCAACAAUAAACGUAUUUGACUCAUUCAAAACCGAGUUACACAAUUAAUUGAACUAUUAUUUGUAACUCAAGGCCAGAAAAGACUUGAGACCAGACAUGAGCAUCCCGUUUUGGGGAAUGAAGACAGAGCAGUCCAUAAGUUUAAAGAAGUGGUUCAGGCCAUGCAUUGAAACUGACCUGAGAAGACUCUACUCACACAGAGCACUGACCUGUUCUGGAGGACUUCUGACAGGAGGUGGAGGUCUGGCGCUGGGUGAGGAGGUGGAGGUCUUGCUCUGGGUGAGGAGGCAGACACCUUGGGACAAACAACAUGUUACCUUUUUAACCUUGUACAGUUCUAGAGUAUCUUCUACUGUAACAUGUGGGAAUGACGGCCAUUAUUUUAGCUUUGAUAUCAUCCAGUUGGUAACUCUGCACCAAAGUCGUUGUUUAACGUCAUUCCAUUGGGUAGGGUUUAACUUCUGUGGCAAUUAAUGACAGCAGAUAUUUAGAACAUACAAAAGCUGAAGUAACAAAGAACACUAAGCAGUAUUGAUAUUAAAUCAAAUAUACUCAGCCAUAUUCAGGUGCUGGGUUCCGUUGAAGAAAUGUCAAAUUAUCUUCCACCAUGAAAUGAUUUUCAGCCUUCCCCGAUGUCAAAUAUGGGCCCGCAAGUAGAACGCUGUUUUGUACGCAAUGAGAGUCCCGCAACGUCAUCGUGGUUAAAAGUACGGCGCAACCAUCGGAAAUUAUCAGCAUAUUGUACAACGUACGUCUCGGUAUGUAUUUAAUAUCAAACUUAAGUUGUUUAAGAUAGGGGCAAUAAUUCCCAAUGGAAACCGACUGAAAAAUAGUUUGUUGGCACCGCCUCGAGGUUACUCAAAUACAUCAAGAACGUUCCGCCAGGUCCCUCAGGGGACUAACUGCCAGGAGGUUUCUUAUGGUUGUCAAGACUACAACGUUCUAUGCUAACCAUUGGGACUAAAUCAAGUGACCGCACUCAAAACCUUCCACGGCGGGAAGCACAACCCGUCCGACUGGAAUCCGAACAUUCCGGCCGGAACCAACCAAAGAAAAAACCGAACCAGCGCCUCACCUUGAGCUGAACGGAGGAAGAUCCUGAAGUCCAGCGAUGGUCUUCAUUAAAACACAGCCAACAGACUUACCUUGAGGAGAUCUGUUUGUUGCUGUUGGUCAUUAAUACUAUUCAGUGUACCUUUACAUUAUUAUGCACCCAGUGUGUACAAGUUAUAUCACUCAAAACAAUACGAAGAACCAAACUACCAUGUACGUCCCACAACAACUUUAAACCUAAAAUCCUGGAAUCAUUCAAUACAAAACCUCUACUUUUUACAAUUAUCUAGAUUAUUCAGGGUACAAACCAUACAGAGCAAAUCUAAACGUUGAGCUCACAGAGAGCCGACCAUAGCCCUGCAAAUUCACCCUGACCGCCUCAUCACCAACAGCAAAUCAUGCCAGCCAGCCAUCACAUGUACAGUCCAGUGGGAAGUGGGCAUCCGAGUGAAAGGACUGCCCAUAAUAAAAAGCAGCCCAAAUCCUGAACUAUCCAACCAUCUUCAUGGCUGAAGGAUUUACAGACUUGACAUUCCAUUGUGUUCUAAUGACUUUAGUCUGCUCCCUCGCUACUUAUAAAACUAUACAUCUCCAUCACUAGAGUGUUGCAUCCUACUCAUGGGGGUGUGGUCUGAGUGAGCAGAGAUGCAUGCUGGGAUACAGUGCUGCCUGAAGUCUUCAGUUCCAUAGACACGCCCCUCAGGAGAAACCAAGUGUUUGAGAAUCUGUCGUGCCAUCAGUUACAUGAGCUGGAAUAUCCUUCAAGAUGGCGCCAGGAUUCUCAGAGGAGAAAUGCCAAGAGGAAGAUGUGUGGGUUCUUCCUCGCAGCCAGUGGAACACAACAACGGUCUUCUUCAGAGUACCAUGGAACACUUUGAAACAUCCUCCUCUUUACACCUUGAAGCCCCAGUGAAGUUUCCUUAUCUCCUCAGCUGAAGAGCACAACUUCAGCUCAAAGAGCGCACUAGCUGGAGUUCCCGGAUUGGUUCUGAUUUAAGGGAACCAAUCGUAUAGCUAGUCCUGUCCGAAACAAUUACAGUUCAGCCUGAGAAGAUGUGCAACUGAGAGCAAGACAAGAUCCAGAGGGCUCUCCAUCAAUCCAACCAGGUAGGAAGAGCCGUCUCAUUACAGGUCUGAAGGUCAUCUUGAAUAUCCAUUUAGGUCCCUUUCCAACGUCAGACUCUCCUUGUGGAAUUCCUUUUGGUGUCCAUCCUCCAUUGAUCCUGAUUGGUGUAGUCCUAGUUUGAUGUCACUGAUCUGAACACGCCGCUUGCAUCCUUUUACACUCGAGUUGGAUACUCUCCUUCCUGCCCAGUGUGUUGGAUCUCGCUCCAGAGCAUCGCUCAGGGCUCUUCAUGUCUACCGGAGGCCCUUAAGUAAACGUGUGGCUGUCCAUCAGGCAUGAUUUAGUUGACCAUUCCAAUAUCCCAAGCCAAUCACACAGACCCCCGUAUGAACAUUAUCACUGUCAAAGCAAGCCGGACACACACACACACACACACACACACACACACACACACACACACACACCCCCAUGCCAGGUGUGAGGGGGAGACACACACAGUAGAACCCUAGUGAUGCUCAAAAAUCUUCCAUCUCAUGUCAAACCCAACACACAUCACUGAGCCAUAAAAGGCCAAACAAUCAUGCAGGGUAAAAACCUCAUAGCAAAUAACAUUCCAUCAUCCCCCCCCCAGCUCUCCUGCCAGGGCACCCAUAACAGAACAACCAAUGUCUCCAGAGACGUAAAUUAUGUACAACAUUCUUCAGUGGCGUCCCACAUUGGUGAUGGAUUAUGCUUGGCGUCUCCAAAAUGUGUCCCAGGUUGAUUCAACAUCUCUGAAGUCAUGUCUUUGUAGUCCAGUGGUUUCCUGAAUGAGGGGCCUUCACAGAUGCAAACGGUUCAGCUUUAGUCAGCCUGAGGACAGGAAGGAGAUCAUCUGUUCAGAAGACCACCCAGUGGAGGGGGGUGGCUCUUGAGGCGCAGGAUCCAUAUGGGGAUGGCCCCAAAUAAGAUCUUCCUGGAAAUGAAACUGUUCCUGAGGAGUCACGAUGCCUGGAGGGGACUGUUGAAUGUGUUCCAUGGUUCUCUGUGUCAGACUGAAGUUGUGUUUUAGUCGUUGAGAUGAGGAGCCCCCUCAUCUCUCCCUGGUGUUUCUCCUUCUGAAUCCGUCUCCAUCUUAAAGAACAUUCUAGUCCAUGUAACUGAUGUCACGACCGUUUCUCAAACACACGGUUUCCCCUGCGGGGGCGUGCCUGCAGACCUGUAGACUUCAGACAACUCUGUAUCCCAGUAUGCACCUCUGCUCACUCAGACCACACCCUCAUAAAUAAAGCAAUACUCAUGUGAUGAAGAUGCAGAGCUCAGGAGAGUAGCUGGAAAGAAGACUGAAGAUAUCAGAACCCAACCCAUUACUCCAGCUUACAACAAUAACUUUGAGCCUGUAACCAUUGUAACAAACCAUUAAAACCAACAUAAACCAAACACCUAAGUAACCCAUGAAACCUCCUUAAUACUCAGAUCAACCUUCAGCUAACAGGUUAACUCACCAGGAAGCCAAAAUACAUCAAUGUGCCCAAGAGUAAUGAGAAACUAUUGACUUACAGUUUGCAGUUCAUCUUCAUGGUCAAGUUGGGAUACUCACAGAACUGCAGUUAAAUAUCCAUGAUAGACCUUUGAAGGAAGGAACAGAUCACUCAUUGUCCCCAAACUUGGGCACUGUCCCACAGUUCAACAUCUACCAUCUCCAUUAAAUCAGAUAAAUGAAUGACAAUACAAAUUCAGGGC